rnacentral:tRNA from 1 species
GGGCUCAUAGUCCAGUGGCAAGACACAACGUUCGCAACGUUGAGACCCGAGUUCGAUUCUCGGUGAGUCCA